AUAAUACUCCAUAGAUUAGAGACACUGGAAUGUUCUUUAGUCGAAAGUUCUGGCGCCUUAGGAUGGAUCUGCGGUCGAUUAGGUUGUUGUUGGGGUAACGGCCCAACAAGCCUGUAAUCGAUACGGGUUGUGGGAGCAAGAGCCCGGAGAUGGAAUCUGAGACACGAUUCCAGGCCCUACGGGGCGCAGCAGGCGCGAAAACUUUACAAUGCAGGAAACUGUGAUAAGGGAACUCCGAGUGCCCGUAUACGCGGGCUGUCCAGGUGUUUAAAAAUCAUCUGAAGAAAGGGCCGGGCAAGACCGGUGCCAGCCGCCGCGGUAAUACCGGCGGCUCGAGUGGUGGCCACUAUUAUUGGGCUUAAAGCGUCCGUAGCUGGACCGAUAAGUCUCUUGGGAAAUCCGCCGGCUCAACCGGCGGGCGUCUAAGGGAUACUGUUAGUCUAGGGACCGGGAGAGGUGAGAGGUACUCCGGGGGUAGGAGUGAAAUCCUGUAAUCCCCGAGGGACCACCGAUGGCGAAGGCAUCUCGCCAGAACGGCUCCGACAGUGAGGGACGAAAGCUGGGGGAGCGAACCGGAUUAGAUACCCGGGUAGUCCCAGCCGUAAACUAUGCGCGUUAGGUGU
rnacentral:rRNA from 1 species